GAUCUGGUGGCCUAGUGGUUAGAGGGUCCGACUUGAAAUCGGGAGGUCGAUGGUUUUAUUCCCUGUCGAGUCA